CUAACAGACAUCCCAAUACACCUCCUGUAAUUUAGAUACACAGAAGAAUGGUGUGAGGUUGCCCUCAUGGCCAGCUCUCCAAAUGCCAUAGAAGUUUCCAUCCUUGCAUAGGGUAGAAUGGUAUUUAUGUCUUUGUAUGGGAAAACAAAUUACCUUUAGCUAUAGUUAUAUGAACUUGAAUGGAAUUCUGAAAAUGAUUAUAGAUUUGACAUUGCCAAG